UUUUGGCAGGGUCUAGAACCACAUUGGAGACAAGCUUUUGGGCAUGUCUGUGAGGAGACCUCUAGAGUGGUGAACAGAAAUCGGAAGCCUCACCCUGGCUAUGGGUGGCACCAUUCCAUCUGGAUGAAAUUCGAUAAUAAACAGCUGUAUUCCUUAGGGGAGUCUAAAAAGAGAAGAAAACAGUAUGGCGGGAGAUGCCUGACAAGAGCUCACGAUAUGUCAAGACGAUUGCUUGCCUGCCUGGCAUUCAGGGAUGCUCCUUGGCAUAAGGCAUCCACAUUCCUGCACUGAUGCUGCCUGUCACUCUGGGUCCCCAUCUAUCACCAGUUGUGGCCUACGAACAAUUGCUGAACAGGAGAAUGGGGGAACAGGGGAAGCCUGCAAGUAUGGUCAGCCAAGCUGCCGACUUAACUUUGGUGGCUGGAUGCUUUAUUUAUUUGCCUUGAUGAUGAUAAGAACAGAACUCUGCUGUAAAAGGGCCGAAGCUUCAGCCCAGAGGAACGACAUAUAAAAUUCUCUUCCUGCACGGCCAUCUUCUAU
rnacentral:lncRNA from 1 species